GACGAACGCUGGCGGCGUGCUUAACACAUGCAAGUCGAACGGUGAAGGGACCAGCUUGCUGGUUCUGGAUGAGUGGCGAACGGGUGAGUAACACGUGAGUAACCUGCCCCCUUCUUCUGGAUAACCGCAUGAAAGUGUGGCUAAUACGGGAUAUUCUGGGUCUGUCGCAUGGCGGGCCCGGGAAAGAUAUUGCUUCGGUGGGGGAUGGGCUCGCGGCCUAUCAGCUUGUUGGUGGGGUGAUGGCCUACCAAGGCGGUGACGGGUAGCCGGCCUGAGAGGGUGGACGGUCACACUGGGACUGGGACACGGCCCAGACGCCUACGGGAGGCAGCAGUGGGGAAUAUUGCACAAUGGGCGCAAGCCUGAUGCAGCGACGCCGCGUGAGGGAUGAAGGCCUUCGGGUUGUAAACCUCUUUCGCCAGUGAAGCAGGCCUGCUCCUUGUGGGUGGGUUGACGGUAGCUGGAUAAGAAGCGCCGGCUAACUACGUG
rnacentral:rRNA from 1 species